GACGAACGCUGGCGGCGUGACUUAACACAUGCAAGUCGAACGGAAAGGCCCUUUCGGGGGUACUCGAGUGGCGAACGGGUGAGUAACACGUGGGUGAUCUGCCCUGCACUUUGGGAUAAGCCUGGGAAACUGGGUCUAAUACCGAAUACGAUCACGCGCCUCAUGGUGUGUGGUGGAAAGCUUUUGCGGUGUGGGGAUGGGCCCGCGGCCUAUCAGCUUGUUGGUGGGGUAAUGGCCUACCAAGGCGACGACGGGUAGCCGGCCUGAGAGGGUGACCGGCCACACUGGGACUGAGAUACGGCCCAGACUCCUACGGGAGGCAGCAGUGGGGAAUAUUGCACAAUGGGCGCAAGCCUGAUGCAGCGACGCCGCGUGGGGGAUGACGGCCUUCGGGUUGUAAACCUCUUUCAGUAUCGGCGAAGCUCCAGAGUUUUCUUUGGGGGUGACGGUAGGUACAGAAGAAGCACCGGCCAACUACGUG
rnacentral:rRNA from 1 species